CAUGCUCCCCUGACCCCCUGGAACACGGAGGAUGUAGAGAACAUAGACACAACAUUCACAGCAUGGCCCUUGUCCAAAUACCAGGAGACAACAACCCCUUUAUCCCACGUCAGUCAGUAUAGAGGUGCAGUGACUUCUUUGGGGCUUCUUUUGGGUUUCCGUUCUUCUGCCUAGGGUUGCAUCGGUGAGAUCUGGGCGAGACAGACGGGUACAGCUGAAGAGUUAAGGGUUUACAUAGAGACACUGAGAGCCAUCACCCACGCUUCUGACAAAGGACUACAAGUGUGAAAUGCGUUAAGCAUGGCUCAUGUGUUUGCUUGUGGACUCAUAGGCGCUGCCAUCUACUUUACUCAUGUGGAUUCCUGUUUGGAACUGGGCAUCUGGAGCUUGGAACCUAUUCAAUUCUGAACACCUGAGAUUCCAGGAAUCCCCCGGUGUGAUGUUAUACUGUAUGCUGUUAUACCGA